CCCCUGCAGGGCUAGUGGUUAGGCCCUGGUGCUCUUACCGCCACGACCUGGGUUCAAUUCCUGGAAAGGGAA
rnacentral:tRNA from 1 species